CGAGAGAUAGCCGAACGGUUAUACGAUUUAUUUUUUUAAAAAAAUAAAAAACCGAGUAUAGCCGCACGGCUGGCCUAUUUCUUUAAAAAAAAUUGUAAAACCGAUUAUAGCCUAUUUCAUACUGAUUCUGAAUUGACCGCCCUGGUUCAGUUUCUUGGAGGAAAUGUGUGGGAGGGCUCGCUGUACUCUCAGAGCCGACGACAUCCCUAGGGCUUGCCACAGCAGCCAUGGCCCCGUGUGUACUGUUAACAUGGACCGGUUUCGCCCGCUGUUCAAUGCGUCGCCGGGGUCGAAUUUACCUGUGUUCGUAGAGAAGACGGAGCAGACGGUGACGGCGUUGUUGUUCACUGUAUGAAAUGGGGGCUGAUCCCUAGUUUCACCAAGAAAACCGAGAAGCCCGAUCACCAUAAGAUGGUAAUAGUAGUUACAUUUGUGGUUGAUGCUUUCCAGUGAUGGUAGUUUAAAUUUGUUGUCUUUCUUAAAAUUUCAAUCUCGAUUUUCCAUAUAAGUAAAGCUUGGAUUGCGUUGAGAUGUGAUUUGUGUUUGAAGAAAACCGAGUAUAGCCGCGCGGCUAUCCUUCGCUGUUAAAAAAUUUGAAAAAUCGAGAUAGCAUUUCUAAA